rnacentral:misc_RNA from 1 species
AGAAGCUCCAAAGCAUCCAAAAACCAGGAACCAAAUGAAUUUCCCUGAAAAUUUUGAUUUUAUGCAGCCUUUUGCAUUCCACUCCUUCAAUUUCCAGGUAUUUCCGUUGUAAUGACCCUCUCCUCCAUCUAAGCUCUUAACUCCUCAGUACCCCCACAUCCACGUUGUAGACUGUAUUUUCUGAGUCUUUUGUCCCUCUCACCUUCUCUGCUUUUCUAUUUCCUUUCCUCCAAGAAAAG